AGAAGUUUUAACACUUUAUGCCCAAGUCCCAUGUAAAAAAAGGUGUCGUGUCUGUAUUUGAAAGAACAAGUGCAGAUUUCCAAAAUCUUCUUAGUAAGUGACUAAAGGGUUGUUUAAAAUAGUUUACCACUACCACUGCACAAACAGACGCACACACCCAACUCCCAGGCCCCAGACCCUCCUAAUUCUCUCGCCACUCCUUGCACAACUCACCAUUGCAGGCCACAAACAACAAGGUUUUAUAUGAUUGAGAAGUGAUCGGAAAGAAACCAAGUGAAAAACAAGUCAAAAGAGGCCAAAUUGAAGAAAACCAAAAAAGUGGCUAAAAAUGCAAAAAUGGGCCAGAUCUGCAAAUCUGAAAAUAUAGGGCUGUUUUGGUCAUUUUUGAUUGGGAAAAUUUGAGAACUACAAAAGCAAGAUAUGAGAAACAUUUUCAUCAUCUUUGGCCAUUCAAACAAGUCUUGAAAAGCUAGGGUUCUUACACCCACACUAGGGGAUUGAAGAUUUGAAGACUUUGAUGAGAAAUUUCUUAAUCUUUUACUCAUUUCUUCAAUACCUUGCUAUGUAUUGACUAUUUAAGUGUAGUAGUUCAUUCUAAUGCUUCAAACUUGUUUAUGAAAAAUAUAUGUUGUUAAAGUUUUGGAUUGAAACUCUUGUUAUGCUUAUGUAUUGAAUGAUGUUUAUCUCUAA